rnacentral:lncRNA from 1 species
CCUAUUUGCAUUUGAAUUUCAUACUCCCAUCUUCAGGGUAAGGAGAGCUGAAGCUGGAAGACACAGACGGUAUUUUAUUUCUGGCUUCGUCUGGCAUGCCAAAUGACUGGUGUAUAGGCUGUGAUAUGUGGCAGGACAUCUGGGGCAAGAUGCAGAAAAAUGGUGAAGAACAUCAAACUUCUGGGCAAUGAUGAAGCCUAGGUGAAUAAGCCUAGACGUCUGAAUUACUUCAAGGAGCAGAACCACCUCCCACACUCUGCUGAUGAACCUUUAAUAGACUCUGAUGUGACUAAGAGACUUCUCAGGUGCCACUGUUCCUGCCCACCAGGAACAGAGGUGGGAAAAGCCAGCUGCCCAUCCCAACUCCUAAUAUCCUGCUCUCUAGGCUCUGGAGCCAAGGAAAAACACAGCAAAAUAGAGCUUGUGCAUAGAGAAAGGACUGUGGGUUCUGCUCCCCUACAAUUUCCACAGUUCUGAGUGGCUUGACAUGGUACAGUCACUAAAUGAACAUGGUGUGAAUAAAUGAAUGAUUC